AUUGAACGCUGGCGGCAGGCCUAACACAUGCAAGUCGAACGAGUGGCGGACGGGUGAGUAAUGUCUGGGAAACUGCCUGAUGGAGGGGGAUAACUACUGUAAACGGUAGCUAAUACCGCAUACCAUCAGAUGUGCCGAGAUGGGAUUAGCUAGUUGGGGGGGUAACGGCUCACCAAGGCGACGAUCCCUAACUGGUCUGAGAGGCGGACCAGCCACACUGGGACUGAGACACGGUCCAGAAUCCGACGGGAGGUAGCAGUGGGGAUUAUGGCACAAUUGGCGAAAGCCUGAUGCAGCCAUGCCGCGUGUAUUAAGAAGGCCUUCGGGUUGUAAAGUACUUUCAGCGGGGAUGCGUUAACCGCAGAAGAAGCACCGGCUAACUCCGUGCCAGCCGCCGCGGUAAUUC
rnacentral:rRNA from 1 species